rnacentral:rRNA from 1 species
UACGAAGGGUGCAAGCGUUACUCGGAAUUACUGGGCGUAAAGCGUGCGUAGGUGGUUUGUUAAGUCUGUUGUGAAAGCCCCGGGCUCAACCUGGGAAUGACAAUGGAUACUGGCAGGCUAGAGUGCGGUAGAGGGUAGUGGAAUUCCUGGUGUAGCGGUGAAAUGCGUAGAUAUCAGGAGGAACACCUGUGGCGAAAGCGGCUCACUGGACCAUAACUGACGCUGAUGCACGAAAGCUAGGGGAGCAAACAGG